AGACGUCUACAUUAGAUACCCGUGUAGUCCCAGCCCUAAACGAUGCGCGUUAGGUGUAUCGGUGACCACGAGUCACCGAGGUGCCGAAGGGAAACCGUGAAACGUGCCGCCAGGGAAGUACGGUCGCAAGGCCGAAACUUAAAGGAAUUGGCGGGGGAGCACCACAACGGGUGGAGCCUGCGGUUUAAUUGGACUCAACGCCGGGAAGCUCGCCGGAUAAGACAGCGGAAUGAUUGCCGGGCUGAAGACCCUGCAUGACCAGCUG
rnacentral:rRNA from 1 species